GAUGAAGAACGUAGCGAAAUGCGAUAAGUAAUGUGAAUUGCAGAAUUCAGUGAAUCAUCGAAUCUUUGAACGCACAUUGCGCCCGCCAGUAUUCUGGCGGGCAUGCCUGUUCGAGCGUCAUUUCAACCAUCAAGCCCCGGGCUUGUGUUGGGGACCUGCGGCUGCCGCAGGCCCUGAAAUGCAGUGGCGGGCUCGCUGUCACUCCGAGCGUAGUAGUUACAUCUCGCUCUGGGCGUGCUGCGGGUUCCGGCCGUUAAAAGCCUUAUUUACCCAAGGUUGACCUCGGAUCAGGUAGGAAGACCCGCUGAACUUAAGCAUAUCAAAAGCGGAGGA
rnacentral:misc_RNA from 1 species